GAUGAACGCUGGCGGCGUGCCUAAUACAUGCAAGUCGAGCGAACGGACGAGAAGCUUGCUUCUCUGAUGUUAGCGGCGGACGGGUGAGUAACACGUGGAUAACCUACCUAUAAGACUGGGAUAACUUCGGGAAACCGGAGCUAAUACCGGAUAAUAUUUUGAACCGCAUGGUUCAAAAGUGAAAGACGGUCUUGCUGUCACUUAUAGAUGGAUCCGCGCUGCAUUAGCUAGUUGGUAAGGUAACGGCUUACCAAGGCAACGAUGCAUAGCCGACCUGAGAGGGUGAUCGGCCACACUGGAAGUGAGACACGGUCCAGACUCCUACGGGAGGCAGCAGUAGGGAAUCUUCCGCAAUGGGCGAAAGCCUGACGGAGCAACGCCGCGGGAGUGAUGAAGGUCUUCGGAUCGUAAAACUCUGUUAUUAGGGAAGAACAUAUGUGUAAGUAACUGUGCACAUCUUGACGGUACCUAAUCAGAAGGCCACGGCUAACUACGUG
rnacentral:rRNA from 1 species